rnacentral:tRNA from 1 species
AGUACUGUAGCUCAAUUGAAUAGAGCAUCAACCUUCUAAGUUGACGGUUAUGGGUUUGAGCCCCAUCAGUACUA